rnacentral:rRNA from 2 species
ACAAUGCGGGACUGUUAGUCUUGCAAUUGGAUUGAGAACAACGUACAACUCUUAUCGAUAAGCCAUUGGAGGGCAAGUCUGGUGCCAGCAGCCGCGGUAAUUCCAGCUCCAAUAGCGUAUAUUAACGUUGUUGCAGUUAAAAAGCUCGUAGUUGAAGUGAGGGAGUGUGUGUUCAUGAGAGCUAGUCUCGAGUGUUCACAACCUCCCCCCUCCAAUCGGUGUAGUGGGGUAUUCAGUUAUUUCACUACUCCUUUGGUCGUUUACUGUGAGAAAAUUAGAGUGUUCAAAGCGGGCGUUUGUUUGAAUAGAUUAGCAUGGAAUAAUGAUUGAAGGCUUUCGUGUUCGAUUUGAUUGGUUUGUUCAUGGAAGCAAGGUUAAAAGGAACAGUUGGGGGUAUUCAUAUUCACUAGUUAGAGGUGAAAUUCUCGGAUUUAUGGAA